UCUUGCCUUUCCCUCUGGCUCAAUAAAUGGCAAAUACCUCAUCCCUCUUGCACUACAUUACGUUUCUGCUGGUCCCUGAAGUUUAUUUUUAGAAAGUAAGAAGCCAAUACUAAAGAUAAAUUUUGAUUUUGGCACAAUUUCACGAACAUUUGCUCAAAACCUUACCCAGUUACAGUAGGUACUGAUGACGCAGAAAUGAAUUCGACCACCAGUAACAAAUUAAGCAUUUUCUGAUCACCUGCUGUACGCAGAGAAGAGGAUAAAGCAUCCAGGCCAUUCUGAGGCACAGAACACCUAUCGAUGUCAUGUGAAACACAACCAGAUAACACAUGUUGGAAACAUGCUUCACCAUCCAUGGCUUGAGACAGGGCAUCGUGGACCACAGGGUGAAGAGGAAGACGCCUUACACAGUGGGAAAAAAGGAGGGUCCUCUCUGCUAUUGGCUAUGCUCAUUCCUGCCACUCUGCCUUUGCCUGAGCCAUGCUUCCUCGUUGGCUAUGUUUUCUCCAACUCCUCGCCAUUCAUCGGGAUCUUCUUCUACUUGGUGGUUGAGCACACAUCUCAGCACAUAGGUGUGAAGAAAGAGCAGCGCCUCUGGGCCAAGCCCAGAUAAUUUACUUUUUUGUGACCUGGAAGCAGCUACUUCACUUCUCUAAGCCUCCAGCUGCAAAGGAAUUAAUAAUCCACAUAGGAUAAGAGUGGCCACGAUGAUUAAAUGGAAUUAAAGAUGUAAAGUACUCAAUGGAGCCUGGAAUAUAGUGAACUUGGUGUGUGUGUGUGGUCUGAAGCAUUUUUUUUGUUGAGGGCCAGAUAGCAAAUAAUUUUUGCUUUCAGGGCAUUCGACCUCUCAGGUUUGCUAUUGUGGGGCAAAACAGACCCCACAAUAAAUAAAUAUUGUAACAGACAAUAUUUAAAUGAAUGGGUGUUACUGUGUUCCAAUAAAACUUUAUUUAUAAAAACAGGUGGCCAACUAGAUUUGCCUCCCCACACCGAGUAUUGCAUGCUUCGUCCGCCCCUAC
rnacentral:lncRNA from 1 species